rnacentral:misc_RNA from 1 species
CCACUGGUGCCUGAGUCCUG